AUGAAGAUGGCAUUCUACUUAUGUCCUACACUGUCAUUUUUCGCAAGUUCUUAUGACCAAAACACACUCAGGGGGGCACCAUGGCAGGUUCAGUCACAGGGCGCUAACACUGACAAAUGUACGGGCAGCCAACUUCAACUAGCUAAUGUGGCAAAUCAAGAACCUUCAUGCAGCACGUGGCAUCAGGCGGCACCCAUGUACCUGCCAUCGACAUCAUACACAGGUUAUUACGGUGGUGCUACCUCGGCAAACAUCUCAUGGCAAGCUUCACAGAUUGCAGACAGAGCACGUCAAUUUGGUGUGACAAACCACACAAGAUGGGCGCAUGCGGCACAACAAGGGCCUUCAACUACAAUCAACAGCGGCGCGGGGACAUCUACUGCGGGGAGCUCUGAGCGCACGGAAGACGCGUUCCACCAGCCAGCCAACGAUCAUGCUGCAAACAAUGCCGAGUCAGAGUCAGAAAUGGCAAUCAUUCCAGCAAUGCCGACAAGCACACCUUUGAACACAAACACUGGCAACACUCAAGUAGAUGAAAGUGCCGCCGAUACUGAAGUGAAUGAUGAAACUGAUGAUGAAGCACAAGGGGAUGAAGAUGGUGGGCAAUCAGAGAUCGUGGUACCUCAGCCACCUUACGUUGGGCAGAGAUUUGAAUCGUUCGCAGAGGCAAAGGAAUUCUACCAGACAUAUGCAAAGUUCCAUGGGUUUGCGGUCAACACCGAAUACCAUAGGAAAAUUAAGAAAACUAACGAGUACAACAGAGGUGAGAUGAGGUGCCACAAGGCAAGAAGGAACAAGAAGGGGAAAGGUGUUGCGCCUGUCAUUCCGGAACGAAAGAGAGGUAUCAUUCUCAAGACGGAAUGCCAUGUCCGGUGUAAGCUAAACGUAGAUGGAGCACAGUGGGUGGUCACUGAAUAUUUUGACGAGCACAACCACAAACUCAUAAAGAAGUUUGACCUGGUAAAAUUUCUGACCGCCCACAGAGGAUUCACCCCCCUCGAGAAGAAAUUCAUAAAGCUGCUACAUGAUUGUAACGUCGGUCCAUCAAGAAUGGAAGAAAUAAAGCAUGCCAGCAUGUACACGGCUUUCCAAGUGGACGAACAUACGUUCAAGGUGUGUUCUAUCAUGGGCAUGUCGGAUUCAGAACCUAAAGAUCCAAACAAGAGAAGGAACUACUUUGUGAAGGCAUCGAUAAGCGAAGGCGAAUACUACUGCCAAUGCUGCAAAUUCGAACAGGACGGGAUUGUGUGCUGUCACAUUCUAAAAGUAAUGGACUUGAACACGGUGACACGAAUGCCCCGCCAUUUCAUAAGGCGGCGAUGGACUUGGGACGCUGACGACGCAUUGGCGCCGCAAACAUCAAACGCAGUUUUGCCCGUGCAUGACGAGAGACCAGAGUCAACCAUGGAAGCCAUGAGGCACGUUGUGUUGACAAAGAACUAUGCUGAACUAAUCGAUGAAGCGUGCAAGAGUGAUGAGACAGCAAAGGUCGUAGAAAAACACAGGAAGGCCCUCAAAAGAGAGCUUGAUGAGAUCAAGAAGAGGAAAGCUGAGGAAGCCUUACACAGGUUCCCCCGCACAGCAAGUGUGCCUUCGUUCACAGGGCCAUCAUCUGAAAACUCGGAGGUAGGAUCUGGAACAGCAAGCACACAAACACAGGUUAGGAACCCGCCCCGUUCCAUCACAAAAGGGCGUCCAAAAGAGAUAAGAUACAAAUCGGAAUUGGAGAUUCAAGCAAAACAUAAGAAACCAAAGAAAGGGACGGGCAAUCCAUAA
rnacentral:rRNA from 1 species